rnacentral:lncRNA from 1 species
UUUUGGGUGAGCAAAGGCAUUCCAUCCCAUCCAUUGCCGUUCUAUGUAGGAUAAUAUUGUCCUCUAUCUUCACCAAGAAGAUUAAAAGAACAAAAAUUUUUAGAGAGAGGGCUGGUGGGUGGUGGUUUAUAGGAAAUAGGGAUGGUUAGGGUCUUUGGGGGCCCUUAGGGAGAUUUUUCUUGUGUUUGGCUGAGAGGAGCACGAAUGCACCUUGACUUGCACAAAUUUCAUAGAGUGCUUCCAGAGCCCCUUUACCUUCAGACCCCUUAUACUUUUACUCUAGAGCUACUAGCCAAGGGAUACAGAACCAAACAGUACUAACCUUGUUCUUGGCUGAGAUUUGUGGAAUUUGAUUUCAGAAGCUUGGUUGAGGAAAUUAAGAACAACAACAAAAAGCUAUUGUUCUGAAAGGUUACAGGAGAGGAAACUUCUUAGGUCAAGCCACUAAUCUUGAACGACACCAUGUGGAGAUUAAAGAGGUGUUCUUUUUAUCGCUGGCUGGUACAUCAUGGAUAUAAUAAAGUUAUGAAUGCUUUCACAGACUCUAGAGUAUCCUCUGGCAAAGAUAACAAGAGAGAUAAAAAUGCCUUGACAACCUUUCCAGUAUCUUCCAGGCAGAAUAUUAACAAUAGCUUACAGCGAAGUAAAGUGAUACCCGUAAUCUAUGUGGAACCCAUCAAUGAAACCUUACACCAGGAUGAUGUGACAUCAGUAUCUUAUGUGGAACCCAUCAAUGAACUCAAAGUUCCAUCUGAAGUCAGAGCAGCAUCCUUAUGUGAAUUCACCAGUGAAAAGUAAGGCAUAAAUAAGUGCACACACACACACACACACACACACACACACAU